rnacentral:rRNA from 1 species
UCUAAGUUUGAUGGCGACCGGCGCACGGGUGAGUAACACGUAUCCAACCUGCCGAUAACUCGGGGAUAGCCUUUCGAAAGAAAGAUUAAUACCCGAUGGCAUAAUAGAACCGCAUGGUUUGAUUAUUAAAGAAUUUCGGUUAUCGAUGGGGAUGCGUUCCAUUAGGCAGUUGGUGGGGUAACGGCCCACCAAACCUUCGAUGGAUAGAGGUUCUGAGAGGAAGGUCCCCCACAUUGGAACUGAGACACGGUCCAAACUCCUACGGGAGGCAGCAUG